CGCCCCGGGCCGGAAAGUGACUCGGAGACCACAACGCGUUGUUGAUGAGCGAAGUCUAGGUGGGGUGAAGGAUCCGAGAGGGCCUCUCAGAUUCGGGCCCCUGGCCCCUGGGGCGCGGGAGAGGCUCCCCCCAACCCCGCGGGCACCUAGAAGGGCGGGCGGAACUCGCGGCUUUGGCGGACUCCAGGUAAAAGCCAUGUCUAUUUGGGGGUUUGCCUCCCCGACUCCCGACCGCUUUGCGGUGUCUGCUGAGGCAGAGGGCAAGGUUCGGGAGCAGCAGGCUCGCUUGGAGCGUAUCUUCUGCGUGGGAAUGAGCGUCCUCUCCAAAGACUGCCCAGAGAACCCUCAUAUCUGGCUGCAGCUUGAGGGCCCCAAGGAGAACAUCUGUAGAGCCAAGGAAUACCUGAAGGGGCUCUGCAGCCCAGAACUACAGAGUGAAAUCCACUACCCACCCAGACUGCACUGCAUCUUUCUGGGAGCCCAAGGCUUCUUCCUUGACUGCCUGGCCUGGAGCACAUCUGCCCACCUGGUGCCUCUGGUUCCUGGUUCUCUGAUGAUCAGUGGCCUAACUGAGGCGUUUGUGAUGGCCCAGAGCCGGGUGGAGGAGUUAGUGCAGAGGCUGAGCUGGGACCUUCAGCUACAGUCGUGUCCUGGAGCACCUGACAGUGGUGGAGUGCUGAGAGACUUCUCUGCCCUGCUACAGACUAGAGAGGAUGCCUACACAGAGGCCCUGCUGCAGCUGCCCCUGGCUGUGCAGGAGGAGCUCCUAAGCCUGGUGCAGGAGGCAUCCAGAGGGCAGGGUCCACAGACACUGCCCUUUCGUGAGCUGGGGAGCUCAGGCCUGUUGAGCUCUCAGUUUCAGGGAGUCAGGGCUCCCUUGAAUGAAGGCAGGGACCCCCUGGGCACUGGAGUGGCAGGGUGGGGAAAGUCAUGGGCAGUAAGAGGACAAAGUCGUACUGUGGAGAAGGAGGGAAGGAAACAGGAUGCAGUCAGGGACAUGGGUUCAGGGCAGAAGGAGCUGUUUGGGGAAGAGGUCUGGGAGACAGGAGUGGCUUACAGGUCACAGCCAGCAGGUGGAGGAGCAGAGGAGGUGGCACCCUUGAAAGGAAAGGCCUCGGGAAAACAGGAGGUUCCUCAGCAAAGAGUGGGGUUCAGUGUGCAGGGUGAACCUUCUGGUACGCAUGUGCCUUGUCAGAGGGCAGCUCCAACCCGGGGAGCCUCUCUCCUCCAGCGGCUCCAUAAUGGGAACACCUCACCUCCAAGAGUGCCUAGCCCUCCACCUGCGCCGGAACCCCCAUGGCCUUGUGGAGACCGAGAUCGAGAUCGAGAUCGGGGAGACAGGGGAGACAAGCAGCAGGCUGGGGCUCGAGGUCGAGGGUCUCCAUGGAAACGAGGCACUCGUGGGGGCAACUUGGUGACGGGCACACAGCGUUUCCAGGAAGCCUUACAGGAUCCUUUCACCCUGUGCCUUGCCAAUGUGCCUGGCCGGCCAGAUCUCCGUCAUAUUGUCAUUGAUGGCAGCAACGUAGCCAUGGUGCACGGCCUCCAGCACUACUUUUCAAGUCGGGGCAUUGCUCUUGCUGUGCAGUACUUCUGGGACCGCGGCCACCGUGACAUAACCGUCUUUGUGCCUCAGUGGCGCUUCAGUAAGGAUUCCAAGGUCAGAGAGAGUCACUUCCUGCAGAAGCUGUAUUCCCUGAGUCUGCUUUCCCUGACACCCUCACGAGUCAUGGAUGGCAAAAGGAUUUCUUCUUAUGAUGACAGGUUCAUGGUGAAGCUGGCUGAAGAGACUGAUGGGAUCAUUGUCUCCAAUGACCAGUUCCGGGAUCUGGCUGAGGAGUCUGACAAGUGGAUGGCGAUCAUCAGAGAGCGGUGAGAGAAUAGGGCACCGGCUCAGACCUUUCUCUAAACCAGCUCUUCUCUGGCCACUGGCCUGCUGCCCUUCACCUUUGUGGGGAACCUCUUUAUGGUCCCAGAUGACCCACUUGGGCGAAAUGGCCCCACCCUGGAUGAGUUCCUGAAGAAGCCAGUCAGGAAACAGGGCUCUUCUAAGUCUCAGCAGCCCUCCAAAGGUUCCACAGAACACGGUAAUCAGCAGCAGGGGAAGGAAGUGGAGAAAGGCAAUGGUGGCAUUCGGAAGACCCGGGAGACAGAGCGGCUCCGGCGCCAGCUGCUCGAAGUGUUUUGGGGUCAGGACCACAAGGUGGACUUCAUCCUGCAGCGGGAACCAUACUGCCGGGACAUUAACCAGCUUUCUGAGGCCCUGCUGAGUCUCAACUUUUGAGCCUUUCUGUUCUGCAUAGCUGCUACCCUAUUAGAGUCAGCCUCCCCAGCCAAGCCCCUUCUCUUACAGUCCCUCUGCCGUUCAGACUAUGACCCAGACUCACUCCAAGAGGGUGCUUCGGCCAGAGGAAGCAUCAGAGAAUUUGAGUGUGGGAAUAUAUUCUUGCCUGGGGCACUUUGAGGACAGGGACUUAAAGUGAUUCAACCUGAGGGUGGACUGCAGCUAGCUCUUAGGUUUUGAUCAGACUCAACUCCUCAACUUUGUCUUUACAGACAGUUUCUAUAGGGUGUACAGCCUGUUCCUGGAGACUGAGACUGUGGCUUCACUACCAAGUUCCUUGGUUGGAGGCUAGGGUAGGCUGGAGGUGACAAAAAGGCUAAGCUGAGAAAGAGAAUAUCCUCUGGCUGUUCCUCUGAGUGGCUAGGAUAGGCUGAGCUGAAUCCUGGCAUGUCCGGAGGAAUGCUGGCUCCUGGAGGGCUCACAGCACUAUGUGGACUGUUGUAGUGGGACAGCUGAGAACCAGAAGGUAGAGGAGGGCAGGCUUCCAGUCUCAGUUGUGCCUGCCUGUGACCUUGACAAAGUUGCUUGGCCUUUACUUAUGUCUAUACAUCAGGUAUAAAAAUAACCUUGGAUGGAAAUGAGAACAGAGAAGACAGCUCCCGUGAGGACCUCUGUACAUGGAUCAUGGCUCAAGUGUGUCUGCCUGUGGCUGGGUGCACAGGCUCCCUAACCAAAACUUCAGAGAUGUCCACUGUCCACUCCCUCAAUCUUAAUGCUGGGUUUUCAGUAGAACAUGCCCUGUAAUGGCUGCAUCCCUUUCCAUCAACCUUUAAAACUCAUGAUAACAAAAUAGUCAAAUUAGGGUUGAUGGUUGCAUUGCUUAAAUACUCUCAGGGCUCUUAUAACUGGCAGCUUCUCAGUUGCAUUUCAAGUGUUUGUUUACAGAUUGACAAGGCCCUGGUUAAAUCCUCUUUCUGGUGUUGAGCCUAUUCACCAAACCCAUGACGUCAUGAUUGGCAGUGACAGUAUUAGUGGGAUCUAAUAUUUUCUUUAUGGAAGACAGGUUUCAUUUGGCAAGACACACUGGUCUCUCUGUGUGUAUGGGAAGUGGAAGCUGAAGCAUCAGGAUUGAAAGAUACCUGAUUGGUUACAGGUCAACUCCACUGACCUAUCAUGACAAGCUGUUUACAUUCUAAUUCUCACAAGUGAUUGUUUUGUAUUUGUGUGAACUCUCUGCUGGAGGAGUUUACUAUCUGCCAGGUGGCACAUUCCUCACUUGGGUGUUAAUCAGUUUUCUCUCUAGUGUAGUGAAGAGUCACUACAGGAGUGACUUCCCUAGGAGUCAGUCAGAGCUAGUCGGCUUCCUAGAGGCCAGGGUCAGAUAGAGGUAUAAAAGGUAAGGCAGGUGCCCCUGGGUUCAUGGAGCAGCUCCCUGAAUUAGAUGCUCUUCUCGCUCUGACUUAUUCCAAGUGACACAGAGUUGACUGUGUGGCUCUCUGGGUCCCAGUGUCUUCGUUUUGUUGGGCAAUUUUCAUUUCACAUCAGAUUAAUUAGAUGUUGGAGACAAGUUGAUCAGGGAAAUGAGAAGGGAAAAGAAGAGAAUGGUUUGGACUGGGUGCUGGUAGAACUGCUUUUUAAGUUUGUGAUUGGUGUCUUGCUCUUUUUACUUGCCAUGAUGGUGGGUGUACAGAAGGCUGGGAUUAUCUUCCCUUUUAUGCUAAGUUUCCCGGAAGGCUGAAUGUUCCCAAGAAGAUGAGAGACAAAGCCUAGAUUUAAUAGGGACAUUGACUUUGUCUUACUGCAGUAUGGCGAGCUGGGACUUGUGUAAAUUCAUGGCUGUUUGGUAAACGCUGAAGGCUAACAUACAGGGCCUUUUCCCACUUUUGCUGGCAUUCUCUGAAGAGGUCAGGGUGACACUAGAACUCACUGGAAAUACUAUAUAUAUUGUCUUUAAUCUCUGUCAUAACCUCAUGUCUAACCAGCUCAUUUGGGAAGAGAGACCAAGAAAGAAAAGGAUGAGGAGAGAGGUAAAAUGUUCAAACCCAGCUUAGGGAAAGCCAUGUAGAGUAAUAGUUCUUAAGAUAAUUCGAGGGGAAUAUAAGCCAAAGACAUAGCUGAAGCCAGUGAUCUAGUGAUGUAAUCUAUCUUUAUUGCCAUAACUGUAGAGCUUUGUCUACACAGCAUAUAGGAGAACCAGGGCAACAAUGUGACACAGAAACCACAAGAAGUUGAAGAGGUUAAGGUUAGAAUGAGAUUACAUCCUCGAGACUGGAGUUUCUCAGAUAGGGGUGGAUCAACAGAACAUGCGAAGAAAGGGGGGAGAGAGUGUAAGACCUAGAUGGCUUCUGCUGUCAAUCAAGUACAGGGAUCACCUGACCCACUUGUCAGGAUGCAGGAACAGGCCCAGCUCCGCUUGGGGCUCCUUCUCUACUCAGGCUACAACAUCCUUCAAGGCAGCUCCCAACUCUGGAAAGGAAUACUGGUAGCCAGUGGCCAGUGUCCGCCGAGGGACCACUUUCUGGCCUUCCAACAGCAUGACGGCACGCUCUCGUCCAAAGACUGCUUGUACCACAGUGCUGGGGACAGGUAUGAAGGCUGGGCGGCCCAGGGCAGCACCCAAGGCCUGGGCAAACUCGGCAUUGGUAGUUGUAGAUGCUGGAGCCACUCCAUUCAGGACUCCUUGGACGUGGUUUGCUUCAAGGGCAUGAUUCAGAAUUCCUGCCAGGUCACCAAUGUGUAUCCAGGGGAAGAAUUGGUGACCUGAACCAAUGGGGCCUCCUAGGCCCAGGCGGAAGGGCAGAAGCAUGUGGCUGAUGGCACCGCCCCCGCGGCCCAGCACAACCCCUAAAGCAGACAGGUAGUACAGGAAGGUUGCUUAGCCUUCAAACUCUGUACUACUCUAAUUUCCCUUCUCCCUUCCUCAUGGUCUUCCCAUGUGCACGUGGAGUGGACAGAGUUGAGGGCUGUGGGUCUUGGGGCUUUCCCUUUGUAUCUUAGCUAAAGUGCUGGUGUCCUCUCACUGCAAGCUCAGCCCUCCUCAGCCCAGAAAUCUUCCACUUUGCCUGGUUCCCAGGCCCUGGGUCCUCACCUGAACGCACCACGACCUGGCGUGUAGAUUCUCCAGGAAGCCUGGCUGCUGCUUCCCACUUGGUUACCAGGUUGGAGAAAAAGUCAAAAUCCCCUCCUGGACUGUCUUCAUCAUACUCCUCCGUUAGGCUUGGCUGGUAGUAAGCUGUCAUGGAAGAGCACUCAUUUGCUUUGGCAGCCCCUGGCCUGCUGGGGUCUUUGUAGUGAAAGGCUCCUUAGUCUCAGUCUCCUUGUCCUUUUGAGUUUCCACAGGAGAAGAAAGAACCGUAACUGUUUCCCCCUUGAGCUUCUCCAUGUGUUCAUGCCUGACAGUUAGCUUUUGGCUGCCAGGCUGUGUCCAGAGGCUGCUAGCUUGUAGUGGGUAGGGACAGAAACGGAGGUGCUAAGCUGCUUGAGCCCUCCUGUUCUUGAUAUCUGUGACUUUUUGGCAAGCUACUUCUCUGUAUGAAAAAUCUGCAUCUUUAGUAUGGGAGUAAUUGUACCUACCUCAUAAAGUAAUUGCAAAGAUUAAAUAAUAUGUAUAAAAUAG